AUUGAACGCUGGCGGCAGGCCUAACACAUGCAAGUCGAGCGGAUGAAUGGAGCUUGCUCCUGGAUUCAGCGGCGGACGGGUGAGUAAUGCCUAGGAAUCUGCCCGGUAGUGGGGGAUAACGUCCGGAAACGGGCGCUAAUACCGCAUACGUCCUGAGGGAGAAAGUGGGGGAUCUUCGGACCUCACGCUAUCAGAUGAGCCUAGGUCGGAUUAGCUAGUUGGUGGGGUAAAGGCCUACCAAGGCGACGAUCCGUAACUGGUCUGAGAGGAUGAUCAGUCACACUGGAACUGAGACACGGUCCAGACUCCUACGGGAGGCAGCAGUGGGGAAUAUUGGACAAUGGGCGAAAGCCUGAUCCAGCCAUGCCGCGUGUGUGAAGAAGGUCUUCGGAUUGUAAAGCACUUUAAGUUGGGAGGAAGGGCAGUAAGUUAAUACCUUGCUGUUUUGACGUUACCAACAGAAUAAGCACCGGCUAACUUCGUG
rnacentral:rRNA from 1 species